rnacentral:lncRNA from 1 species
CUUUUCUCUCUCACUCGACACUCUCUCUCCCCCUCUGUUCAAACGAAGACAGAAGAUGGAAGACAGAAGCAGCAGCCGCACGAAGACAGGAGUAGCUUGCUGUCGCCGCCCGCGCUCCGCCACCCGCGCUUCACUCGUGCACCCGCCACUCACCCCUCGCCUCUGCCUCUCCCUCACCCCUUUCGGCUACCGUCGAAGCUCUCCUUCUCCUCCUUUCUGUUUCGUGUGAAGCCUCGACGGAAGCAGAAACAGAAACAGCAGCCGACACUACCUGGAGCCGAAGCUUUCAUUGUCGCCAGUCGCCCUUCCUCGCGCGCGCACGCGUGCAGCCGUGCGACCGCCUGCCCUCUCCACCGUCCAGGCGUCCUCACCGUGCGACCCCAGCUCUUGUUCCGCCCCUGUCCAGCCUUGUCCGGCCACCUCCGACCAUUGUUCAGCCCCGCUGAACCACCACCUACCUUCCCCCGUGCCAAAAGAGGUGUCAGCCACAAGUUUGAUAUUUUCUAUGCACUCAUGAAUGCGGUGUAUAAAAUGGUCUUGCAAUCCAAUGCUCAUUCACGUACAUCGAACUUCUGUAGUAAAAAAUGUUCUCUUGUUGGUCAACUAUUAGAGGGG